rnacentral:rRNA from 1 species
UACGAAGGGGGCUAGCGUUGUUCGGAAUUACUGGGCGUAAAGGGCGCGUAGGCGGCGUGUCAAGUCAGGCGUGAAAGCCCCGGGCUCAACCUGGGAACAGCGCUUGAGACUGGCACGCUCGAGUUCGGGAGAGGAUGGUGGAAUUCCCAGUGUAGAGGUGAAAUUCGUAGAUAUUGGGAAGAACACCGAUGGCGAAGGCAGCCAUCUGGACCGACACUGACGCUGAGGCGCGAAAGCGUGGGGAGCAAACAGG